GGAUUAGAUACCCGGGUAGUCCUGGCAGUAAACGGUGUGCGCUUGGUGUGAGGGGAAUCGACCCCCCUCGUGCCGGAGCUAACGCGUUAAGCGCACCGCCUGGGAAGUACGGUCGCAAGACUAAAACUCAAAGAAAUUGACGGGGACCCGCACAAGCGGUGGAGUAUGUGGCUUAAUUCGAUGCAACGCGAAGAACCUUACCUGGGCUUGACAUGCAUCUCUAAGCACGUGAAAGCGUGUGACCCUUCGGGGAAUUUGCACAGGUGCUGCAUGGCCGUCGUCAGCUCGUGUCGUGAGAUGUUGGGUUAAGUCCCGCAACGAGCGCAACCCUUGUGAUUAGUUGCCAGCGGGUAAUGCCGGGAACUCUAGUCAGACUGCCCAGAUCAACUGGGAG
rnacentral:rRNA from 1 species